rnacentral:rRNA from 1 species
AUUCCAGCUCCAAUAGCGUAUAUUAAAGUUGUUGCAGUUAAAAAGCUCGUAGUUGGAUUUCUGGCGGGGACCCAAGUACCCCUGGUGGGUGUGCUCGGGCCCGGCCAUCCUUCUGUAAACUUUCGCGCGUCCUUCACCGGUCGGCAAAGGGAUCAGAUAAUUUACCUUGAGAAAAUUAGAGUGUUUCAGGCAGGCUUAGCCGGAAUACAUUAGCAUGGAAUAAUGGAAUAGGACUGAGGUCUCGUUGUUGGUUACGCGGACUACAGUAAUGAUUAAUAGGGACAGUUGGGGGCAUUAGUAUUUAAUAGCUAGAGGUGGAAUUCUCUAAUUCGUUAAAGACUAACUUAUGCGAAAGCAUUUGCCAAGGAUGUUUUCAUCA